rnacentral:tRNA from 1 species
GACCCCAUCGUCUAGUGGUCAAGGACUCCGGGUUUUCAGUCCGGCAACGGGGGUUCGACGCCCCCUGGGGUUACCA